rnacentral:rRNA from 1 species
UAAGGAAUAUUCCACAAUGGGCGAAAGCCUGAUGGAGCGACGCCGCGUGAGGGAAGACGCCCUUUGGGGUGUAAACCUCUUUUGUGGGGGAUGACAUGCUCUUUGUGAAAGCAAAGAGAUACGACAGUACCCCGCGAAUAAGCCUCGGCUAACUACGUGCCAGCAGCCGCGGUAAUACGUAGGAGGCGAGCGUUGUCCGGAUUUACUGGGCGUAAAGCGCGCGCAGGCGGCACAUCAAGUAAGGUGUGAAAUCUCCCUGCUCAACGGGGAGGGUGCACUUUAGACUGAUGAGCUAGAGGACGGUAGAGGGGGGUAGAAUUGCUGGUGUAGCGGUGAAAUGCGUAGAGAUCAGCAGGAAUACCCGUGGCGAAGGCGGCCCCCUGGGCCGAACCUGACGCUGAGGCGCGAAGGCUAGGGGAGCGAACGGGAUUAGAUACCCCCGUAGUCC